rnacentral:misc_RNA from 1 species
AAGUCGUAACAAGGUUUUCGUAGGUGAACCUGCGGAAGGAUCAUUAGUGAAACAUAAGAGUGCUCUUCAUUGAGGCUCGUUUUAACUAUCCAAACCACUUUGUGCAUUUGAAACAACACAUAACCAUAUUCUCUCUGUUGACGUUUUGAUUGAGAUUUCAAUGGCUUCGGUCACUCUUUCGGAAUUGAAUGGUUUGAAUUGGUUAUAACACAUAACCCCAUUGCUUUAAAUAAGAGAUGAUGAUGUAAUAUAACCAUGAAAUUGAAAGUACAACUUUCAGCAACGGAUUUCUUGGCUCUC